CCCUGAUUCUGUCUGCACUUUCAAUAAACCAGACAACAGACACCCCAUCACAGACACAACAUGGCUCUAUGGGGACUCCCGUUUUACCUCAGGGAACCAAAUCUCCAAGAUUUAUUUGGACACUGAUAAAGAGGAGUGAAACUGGGCAUCCUUGAAGUCAUGGAGGAUGACCUCUCACAGAGAACUAAGAGAUG